rnacentral:rRNA from 1 species
GAUGAACGCUGACAGAAUGCUUAACACAUGCAAGUCUUUGGCGAAGCUGUGCUUGCACAGCCUAGCCAAGGCGGACGGGUGAGUAACGCGUAAGGAACUUGCCCUGCAGUCAGGGAUAACAGACGGAAACGACUGAUAAGACCUGGUAAAGUCAGGCGGACUCAUGUCCAGCCUGAUGAAAAGUGAUGCUGCAGGAGAGCCUUGCGUCCUAUUAGCUUGUUGGUGGGGUAACGGCCCACCAAGGCGAUGAUAGGUAGCCGGCCUGAGAGGGUGGACGGCCACAAGGGGACUGAGAUACGGCCCUUACUCCUACGGGAGGCAGCAGUGGGGAAUAGUGGACAAUGGGGGCAACCCUGAUCCAGAAAUUCUGUGUGCACGAUGAAGGUUUUCGGAUUGUAAAGUGCUUUCAGCAGGGAAGAAAAAAAUGACGGUACCUGCAGAAGAAGCGACGGCUAAAUACGUG